rnacentral:rRNA from 1 species
UACGGAGGGUGCAAGCGUUAAUCGGAAUUACUGGGCGUAAAGCGUGCGUAGGCGGCUCGUUAAGUCAGAUGUGAAAGCCCCGGGCUCAACCUGGGAACUGCAUUUGAAACUGGCGAGCUAGAGUUGAGUAGAGGUAAGUGGAAUUUCAGGUGUAGCGGUGAAAUGCGUAGAUAUCUGAAGGAACACCAGUGGCGAAGGCGACUUACUGGACUCAAACUGACGCUGAGGUACGAAAGCGUGGGUAGCAAACAGG